UACGUAGGGUCCGAGCGUUGUCCGGAAUUAUUGGGCGUAAAGGGCUCGUAGGCGGUCUGUUGCGUCGGGAGUGAAAACUUACAGCUUAACUGUGGGCGUGCGGUCGAUACGGGCAUCACUGGAGUUCGGCAGGGGAGACUGGAAUUCCUGGUGUAGCGGUGGAAUGCGCAGAUAUCAGGAGGAACACCGAUGGCGAAGGAAGCUCGCUGGGACGGUACUGACGCUGAGGCGCGAAAGCGUGGGGAGCGAACAGG
rnacentral:rRNA from 1 species